UACGGAGGUGGCAAGCGUUGUUCGGAAUUACUGGGCGUAAAGGGCGCGUAGGCGGCCGCCUAAGUCAGACGUGAAAUCCCCAGGCUUAACCUGGGAACUGCGUCUGAUACUGGGUGGCUUGAGUUCGGGAGAGGAAUGUGGAAUUCCAGGUGUAGCGGUGAAAUGCGUAGAUAUCUGGAGGAACACCGGUGGCGAAGGCGGCAUUCUGGACCGAAACUGACGCUGAGGCGCGAAAGCCAGGGGAGCAAACGGG
rnacentral:rRNA from 1 species